rnacentral:rRNA from 1 species
AGUGAACGCUGGCGGUAGGCCUAACACAUGCAAGUCGAACGGCAGCACAGUAAGAGCUUGCUCUUACGGGUGGCGAGUGGCGGACGGGUGAGGAAUACAUCGGAAUCUACUUUUUCGUGGGGGAUAACGUAGGGGAACUUACGCUAAUACCGCAUACGACCUACGGGUGAAAGCAGGGGAUCUUCGGACCUUGCGCGAUUGAAUGAGCCGAUGUCGGAUUAGCUAGUUGGCGGGGUAAAGGCCCACCAAGGCGACGAUCCGUAGCUGGUCUGAGAGGAUGAUCAGCCACACUGGAACUGAGACACGGUCCAGACUCCUACGGGAGGCAGCAGUGGGGAAUAUUGGACAAUGGGCGCAAGCCUGAUCCAGCCAUACCGCGUGGGUGAAGAAGGCCUUCGGGUUUUAAAGCCCUUUUGUUGGGAAAGAAAAGCAGCAGGUUAAUACCCCGCUGUUCUGACGGUACCCAAAGAAUAAGCACCGGCUAACUUCGUG